UGUCUCGAAUGAUUCCUCCCUCCUCUGCACAGGUAAGAAAUAAUAUCCACACACAACGGAAUGUUAUCGACCUCCCUCCGUCACUGAAAAGUAAAAAAAUAGUCUUUCCUCGUUUCUUGUUUUUUUUCUUUUUCUUUUUGUUCGCCCACCCUUCAGGGUCCUUUAAAGCCCGCGAUUCAGAGGCGGAGAGCGUCGCUCCGUCCGUCCGUUCGGACGCUGGAAACCCCUCGGUUAGGACGUGUCCUCGACCGCAGACAACUUCAAAAACCAGGCAGUUAGAUCCUGCAGCGGUGCGCCAGUUCUCCAGUAACUCCGGGCAGAAUGGACUGUCGGCUGGAGCAGUUAUUUUUGUGUUAAAAUAUCGAGCGUUGUGAAAUUCACCGCCAGCCUGCCGUUGGGUACCCAGUUCCUCCGCCGCGCGCUGUACCACACACAGACUGUGCACUGACACGAGGACCUCACUGCUGAGAGAGGGCCGACGACCAACCAAUCAGAGUCUUCGGCGGAGCGUAGAACGGGUGACCAAUCACCGAGCGCUAACCCCCACGUGGGGUUUCAGCAAAACAGUGGUUUUGAUUGGACAAACAAUGUGACCUCACACGGACGCCAUUUUGGAUGCGAAGUGACAUUCUGAACGUCCAAACAACUUGUUCAAAACAAAGCCAAUGACAGCUGAAUAAAGGAGCCCCGCCUUCAACAAAAGGAAGGAUUGAAGAAGAACACCCAAACUUGAUUAUGUUCUUUUGUUUUAACCCUCCAGGUGUUCCCAUAAUGAGCACCACAUCUGUUUUGCAAUUAAAAGGACAACAGGAUCAAUAUAAGUG